GCCCGCUGAGCCUCCCUGGCCUGUGCAGACGGCGCGAGGCAGGAGGGCGCGAAUCAGCGUCCCCAGCGCGGCCCCGGGCGGCAAGCUAGCGGAGCCCGGCGUUGCGGCCGGCGGCCGGCGGACAGCGCCCGCGGGAAAAGAUGCUGCUGCAAGUUCAAAUUAUCCACAGUGUUGGAAGGAGGAGUGGCACCACAAACAAACGCCACCACCCGCAGGGGCUGGGAAGAAGAUCUUCAUAGGUCUAUGAGGAUUAUUCCGUGCCAGGAAUGGAGUACUCUGGAACAGGAGUGCCCAGAGAGUCCACAGAGUGAGGAAUGAGGAUGGUCAAAGCUGAUGGAAGACAGUGGCUCCCCACUCCAGGCUCUGGGAGGAUAACGUGCGAGCUCUUGAGACAUGCAUGCCCUCCCUGGCGUGGCUUCUGCCUACUUUGCCAGCCUCUUCCCCACUCCUCAUGCCUCCCAGAUGCCCAAGUUAAACCAGUUGCCCCGAGUUGCUCAGCCAUCCCAUGCUGCUUCACACCUCUGAGCUUUGCCCAGACCGUUCCUUCUGCCUGGGUGCCCAUCAUAGUCUCCUCUCCUGGCCAACUCUUACCAGACUUCAAUACUCAGCUCUAGUGGCAUCUUUUCCAGGAAACCCUCCCUAAAGCCCUGAGAACUCCUCCCAUGAACUGAGCAUAUUCAGCACAUUCUAUUAAAAGUCUCUCUUUGCUGGGUCUUUCUCUUCUGCUAGAUUAGCAACUCCUCAAAAACAGAGACUAUGAGCUAUUUAUAUGGGCACUCCCAGUGUCCCGCAUGCAGUAGUAAUAAAAUCACAACAACAUAUAUUGAAGGUUUGCUGUGUACUAGAUGCUAUUUAAGUGCUUUAUAUUAACUCGUAGAAUCCUCAAAAUAACCAUAUUACUGCAUAUGUUCUGUACCCUAUUUUUUAAAUUUAACUGUUUUUUAAAAAGCAUGGAUUAACUGGAGAUGCAAAGAAAUGUACAGGGAAGUCCACAGUACCCUUCACCCAGCAUCCCCCAGCACCAGCAUCUUGCAUAAUUAUAGUGUAGUGUCAAAACAAGGAAAUUGACGUUGGUAUAACCCACAGAGUUUAUCUGAAUUUCACCAGUGACACAUGCACUCCUUUGUGUGUGCAUGGUUUUGUGUAAAUUCACCACAAUCAAGCUACUUAGCCACUCCAUCACAGGACUCCCUCGUGCUGCCCCAUCGCACCCUGUCAGCCACUCAGCUAUUCCUCAUCUCUAUAAUUAUGUUGUUUCACAGUUGUUACAUAAAUGGGAACAUUGAGUCUAUAAUUUUUUGCUGUUGGCUGUUUUUUUUUUUUUUUUUUUUUUUUUUUCUUUUGCGAUGGAGUUUCACUCUGGCGUCCAGGCUGGAGUGAAGUGGCACGAUCUGGGCUCACUGCAACCUCCGCCUCCCAGGUUCAAGCAAUUCGCCUGCCUCAGCCUCCCGAGUAGCUGGGAUUACAGGUGCGCACCACCAUGUCUGGCUAGCUUUUUUGUGUUUUUGAAGAGACAGUGUUUUAUCAUGUCGGCCAGGCUGGUCUCAAACUCCUGACCUGCAGUGAUCCUCCCACAUCAGUCUCCCAAAGUGCUGGGAUUACAGGUGUGAGCCACCAUGCCUGGAGGCUUUUCUUGUAUUCAGCAUAAUUGCCAUGAGGUUCUCGCAUGAACUAUCUACUGAUGUAGUUGCCUAUAUCAGUAGUUAUGUGCUCUUUUUUGUCACUCUGCAGUAUUCCAUGAUAGGGAUGUGCCACAAUUAUUUAACCAUCCACCCACUGAAGGACACUGGCAUUACCUCGUUUUGCAAAUGAGAAAGCUAACUGGCCCAGGGUCACAUGACUAGUAAGUGGCAUUUAAUAAGUGUUUAGCAAUAAGCACCUAAUAGACAUUUAUUGUAGGAGCUCAACUGAAUGAGGGUACUUUACACAAUUCACUUAGCACCUAGCAUGGUGUUUUACACAUAGUAGGUGCUAACAAAUGUUUGUCAGUGAGGAUAUGGAGGAGACGGCAUUUAUAUUUAUAUAGCUAGUAUUAUGACCAACUUAUUCCUAUGCCUAGACAUUUACAGGAGAGGAAUAUGUCCCACUCCAUAGCCUACACUUUCCAUUUUACUUAGAAUAUCAGGAAAGGAAAAUUGAGGCAGUAAAUAUGAUCACUACAGGGCUGGCAUUUUAUUGCCUAAAAUGCCCAGAGCUUUUGGUUCCAAAUUAAUAUACACCAUCUUUUCAUAGUAUUUUGCAUCUAAUUUGCAGGUUGCUCAUUUUAUCAAAUGCAAAGCAACUCUUCCGACUCCUGCUUCUUCCCGUACCACCCAGCAGGUGCUGGGUCAGGCUGCGCCGACACAGUCUGCGGAAACAAUUGGUUGGGUCCCCAAAGUGUCCAUGCUAAGCUGAAAAGUCUACCGGGCUGUUUUUGCUUGUGGAAACGGCGAGUUAUUUUCACUCAGCGGGGGCCUUAGGAGGUUUAAUUGCUGAGGAUGUGUGGAGCUGUUGGAAGUCCUCAACCUCAGGUGUGAAGAGCCAAAUGUGAUUAAGUGAUUGGAAAGGACACAAGUUACACUAGGCUCUGUCCUGGGCACAGUGCCCAGGAGAUGGGCUUGCCCGAGCAGCUCCCGCUCUCCCUCUAUUUGGAGAGUGAGGUACGAGACAGCCAACCUCAGACUCCAGGGACAUUGGAGAUAAGUGGGGACUCCAGGGUGGGCCUUUCACAGAGAGUGUCCUGUGGCCUCAAGGGAAAUCCAUGGUUUUGACCAGUCAAAGCCUUACCAUGGGCCACAGGUGGGACGGACAAAUAAAAAGGGUAAAACUGUGGGCCUUGCCAUCAAGGAACUGCUAAUGAUGUUGACUCACCCCCCAAAGCUUUUAAAUGCUGGCUGUGGGGGUGUUCACACCUGUAAUCCAAGUACUUUGGAAGGCGGAGGUGGGAGGAUCACUUAAAGCCCAGGAGUUCAAGACCAGCCUGGGUGACAGAAGGAGAACUUGUCUCCAAAAAAAUGAAAAUGAAAAAUGAGACUUUAAAGUAGUUUUUGCCUUUUGGUGGGGCCAUGUGGGAUUGUGCCCUCAGACCCCUGGGAAUGCACGAUCACUGUGCUGUUAAGGGCAAUUAUUUAAAACAUUUUUUUCUUCCAUAUUCAUCUCUGAUCCAAGUUAGGGGCAAUUCAAAGGAAGAGUUGAAGCAUCAUCUUCCUAGAGAGAAUGGAACCUCAACUGCAGAGACAGAAUGGACUGUUGGGGAGGAUGGACUGGAGAGGAAGUGAGGCCACUAUCAGGGUAGAGGGGGUGACGUGUGUGAUUUAGGACACCAUUCUAAAGACUGAUGGGGAACUCUGGUACUUUAGGGAACUGAACGGGAUUUGAUUAAAGAGCUGACCACCAGACUACUGCAGAGUGUAAUGAGAGACCAGAAGAGGCCAUGAAGAGGGACUGCAACUGGGAGUGGAGGAUGGGCUGCUGGCGGGCAGAGGACUGACCCCAGAGGGAGAAUGGGCACAAGGCAGGCACAGAAGACGGGGAGAGAGUUCCAAGAAGGAAGUUUCUGGUGUGGUAGAUGAUCCCAUCAAGAGCUCCCCAAGCCUGAAACCUGCAAAAAUGCUGUUGGAUUGAGAAGAGCUGUGAAAUUGAAAUUAACUCACAGGAGCUUCACAAGAAGGGUCUGUGCUUAGAAGGAAUCACAGGUGAAAAGGGGGAUUUUUAUUGUUAUUUUUAAAGGUGGAGAGAGGGUAAGCAAAUGAGUGAGUUUCCUGAGGAGGUGGGAAGGGACGAGGUUGGUUUUUAAAUUCUUCUUCCCUUAAGUCAGAGUGAAGGGAGAGAGAAUGAGCGAGCUGUGCUGGGGUGUGGGAGGCACAGUGAUGGAGGGCAAAGGGGGGUCACAUCACCAUCUCCAUCUCCAUUGGUCUCAGGAGCUCAGGCAAGGCAAUCUGUUCCGAGGACGGGGUGCAGAUGGGGAGCACGGUGAGGGGCAGAUUCAGAAAGGGACUGUGCAGAGGUGCCGGGGCAGCUGCAGGAGAGGAAUAAAGGGAUUGCUGCAGAGAGGAUUGUUGAGGCUGGAAUCAUGAGUGCAUAAUAGGGCUGGUCUGGCAGCUUCCGGAUUUUCUUCUGCAAUGCUUUGGGCAGAGAGGAACGGAGCUGGGUGGGGAGGGUUUCUAAUUUUUUAAUAGAGGCAGGAGCAGCAACGACCUCAGUAACCUUUGCCUCAUUUUGUGAGGCCUAGGCUGCCCAGCCUUCAGCAGAAAGACACCCUCCUACCCUCGCCAGCCUGGCCUCUUCCUGUGCACAGCCCAGUGGAGAAGCCCACUCACCUGGCUUUGCUGUCUCGGGGAGCUCUCCACUUCUCCGAGCUUGUGGUCAUUUCUCCUUGGCCUGACAUAUCAAUGGAUCCGGUUCUAAAAGAGUCCCAUUUGCCCUCCAUUGCUCCCUACGCACUGUUUUCAUUUUUCUCCCCUCCUCAAUCUUGCGACAGCAGCGUAAUAGCCCCGGAGAGGGUCAGGCUGGGAAGAUGAAUGCUGGCCUGUGGGGGACUGCAUCCUGCCUCUCCAUUAGCAAGGUGAUGGAAGUCAGGGAGCGGAGAAUGGAUAAUCCGAGGAAACACAAACAGACACAACAAGCAGCUCACAGGAUAACCCACACUGCAUUUGCUCUUGUGCUUGGAGUGUGCUGUGAUGACUUGAGUGCCACCGAUUUGCUGGUCUAAUUAGGUCUGACUUGGGCAACGUGGGUUGCAUUUCCCAGGGUAGAGACAGCAGUGGGGAGAAACCAGGAUGGGCUAAAAGUGUUUGCUGGGGGGAAGCCCCCAAGUGAAGGAUCCCCAUGUGCAUGUACAAGCAGACAGGAGAGCCUGGGAUGGCUGCCACUAUUUGAAGACUUGGUGCAUUAAGUGGACCCAGAGACCCACAGGUCACCCCAGAACGUAGCUUCCUACUCAGUGUACUCCUCAUAUGUUGUGUGUUGACUCCUUCCUGGCUAAGUCAACUGAGCGGAAUGGCUGGGAGAGUUUCUCAUGGAGAGUACCAGGCAGUGAUCCUGUAUGGCUUAUGCCUGUUUCUACCUGGACCCUUGCUGAUAUGUUCCAGGUCCAUGUGCUGAUGCCUCCAGGUACUUUCUGCCAGAGGAGCCCUGAAAACUCCCAGGGGCCACUGCCCUGCCCUUCUGCCCAGCAUCAGAUGAUGCUUCCUUUGUGCCAUUGGCAUCAGAUCAUGGUCCAAAUGGGGGAUGGAGAGCAGAGCCCCUGAGACAGAGGGCAAAAGAUAGAAGUAGCCUAAAAGGCCUCUGGAAAUGAACUAUUUGAGGAAACUUGAGUUCUGGUCUCCAUGUCUGGUGUAACCUUGAGCUGCUCACCAAAGCUUUCUGGGCCUCCAUUUCCCUUCUGAGGCCUUUUUUUUUUUCCAUCUCUGAGUCAUCCUGAGAACAGAAAGGAGUUUAGUUAAACCAGUUUCUAAUGAUUAUGAAGCCAGACGGUAAGUAGGGAGGGACAUCCUCAAAUUCUCCCGUGUUUAUGACAGAGCUACAGUAUGUUUUCAAGUGGCCAGAUAAGAGAUUUUGGAAAAUUUAGUCAUCAAAUGUGGAUUUAGGCCCCAGUUCACAGAUACUUAGCAGCUGUUUGGGCUUGGACAAGUUUGUGUGUGUGUGUGUGUGUUUUGUUGUUUUUUUUUUGUUUGUGUUUUUUUGAGACAGAGUUUUGCUCUUGUUGCCCAGGCAGUUCACUGUAACCUCCCCAGGUUCAAGCAAUUCUACUGCCUCAGCCUCCUGAGUAACUGGGAUUACAGGUGCCCGAUACCAUGCCCAACUAAUUUUUUGUAUUUUUAGUAGAGCUGGGGUUCCCCCAUAUUGGCCAGGCUGGUCUUGAACUCCAGACCUCAGGUGAUCCAUCCACCUCGUCCUCCCAAAGUGCUGGGAUUACAGGCGUGAGCCACUGUGCCCAGCCAAGUUGUUCUUUACCUGAAGAUCAGUUGUCCAUCCAUAGAACAGAACUUAUACCUAACUCACACAUGUUUGUGAAAAUCAAAUAAGAUAAUGUGCGAGAAAGCAUUUUGCAAGUUCAGAAAUGUCUGUGGGAGGCUGAGAGGAAGAGGUAGCAGGGAACAUGGAAAGAUCGUGGGAUUCGAGUCAUAUGGAGCCAAGUUGAGAUUCCACUGUGAGUUGUGGCCUUGGACAAGUUGGUGAACUUCUCUUAGUCUUAGUUUCAUCAUCCGUAAAGUUGACAUAAGUAAAUUAUGUCAGAGAAUUACUGGAGGAUUACAUGGGCUCGUGUUUGUAAAGGGUCUGGCAUAUGGUAGAUGCUCCCCGCACUUUCCCCACACUCUGUAUGUAGCUCCCUCCCACUAUAUGGUAGUCCUCCCAGGCCCCCAACUCAAAGACAGCUCAAGUCAUCAUUUGCCCACAUUUUCAGAUGCUUGGACUAUCCUGGCAUUUAUCUAUGGAAGUGCCACUUUGUCUAUACCCUCCCAAGGUCUCGCCUUCAGCUGUGGGUCUUCAGUCUUGGGUUCCUUCUUCCUGUUGAACAGAAGGUGCCUGCUGAGGACACAGAACUGAUCACAUCUAGUCUCCAGACCCUGCAGAGGGAUCAGGCCAUUUCGGUGAAACUCCAUCUCUGCUGGGGGCCAGCUUUCUGCAGUGGCUACCCUUCCUAAGCCAAGGCUGCUCCAUGAGGUUUGCCCAGCCAUCCUGGGGCAGGGUGCCCAGGGUGCAGGCAUGCAGGAGAGCAUUCUUUGCUCAGAGAGAUUCUCCUCCCUGUUGAGAGGAUCCACUCCCUGUCCUGAUCCUUCUUCGCCCAGAGAGCAGCCCCUCAUUUCCCGCUACCGCUUUUGCCAUCCUGACCACAGUUUCUCUGUGCUGCAGUGUGGCCAACCUCUAACCUUCCCUGCCAAGGGCAACUGGGAGCCCUCAGCCACCCAGCUGCCCCUGAUGGCUCCCAGCAGGAUGGUGCUUAGGCCGUCUCACUGGGCAGAUGUUCAAGCCCCUAUGUGGUCUUUUCUGGUCUGUGGUGUGGAACACCUGCCUCAAGAUCACCCUUGGGAAUGUGGGGUCCUGAGAUGCAGGUUCUCAGACAGCACUUCAGACCAACUAAAUAGAUUCCAGGCUGGCCAGAAAUCUGCAUUGUAGAUAAGCUCCCAUAGGAUUCUUAUGUACAGGAAAGUUUGAAAACCAUUGGUGUGAAUUUUCCUCCCGUUUUCAUUGAGGCAGAACUCAUAGAGGCAAGCAAACAAAUCAUGUGGGCAACUUGAGUUUGUAUAUUGGGGCAUACAGUAUCCCCAUAUUACCACUCCCGAAUCAAGAUAUAAAGUAUGUAGGCCAGGCGUGGUGGCUCACGCCUAUAAUCCCAGCACUUUGGGAGGCCAAGACAGGUGGAUCACGAGGUCAAGAGAUUGAGACCAUCCUGGUCAACAAGGUGAAACCCCGUCUCUACUAAAAAUUCAAAAAUUAGCUGGGCAUGGUGGUGCACGCCUGUAGUCCAGCUACUCGGGAGGCUGAGGCAGGAGAUUGCUUGAACCCGGGAGGCGGAGGUUGCGGUGAGCCGAGAUCGCACCAUUGCACUCCAGCCUGGGUAACAAGAGCGAAACUCCAACUCAAAAAAAAAAGAUAUAGAACAAGUAGAACAUUUCCAGCUCCCUAAAAGGCUCUCUUACACACAGAGUUCUAGCAAUGUAAACUAGCCUGUUUCUGAACGUCAUGUGAGUGGAGAAUUUUUCUUCUUUUGCUCCACAUUAUAUCACUGCUGCCCACUCUUCAAAGUGCAAACAGCUCCUCUUCUGGCUGAGCAUAGUGGCAUGGCUGGGUGCGGUGGCUCACGCCUGUAAUCCCAACACUUUGGGAGGCCAAGGUGGGCGGAUCACGAGGUCAGGAGAUCGAGACCAUCCUGACCAACACGGUGAAACCCUGUCUCUACUAAAAAUACAAAAAUUAGCUGGGUGUGGUGGCACAUGCCUGUAAUCCCAGAUAUUUGGAAGGCUGAGCCAGGAGAAUUACUUGAAUCCAGGAGUUGGAGGUUGCAGUGAGCCUGGAUCAUGCCACUGCACUCCAGACUUACAAGAGAGCAAGACUCUGUCUCAAAAAAAAAAAAAAAAAAUGCCAACAACUCCUUUUUCAUCUCAUGUACCUUACCCACUUCUGAUAGAGAGAGAGAAAAAAAUCAAUCAAUCAACUAAAUUUUCCAGGAUCUAGCCCUAUGUCCCUCUCAUUGCAGUUUCCUCCAUCCUCCCCUCCAGGCCUUGUGAAGAUCACAUUCAGCUGCCAUCCUCCAAGUAUUAGUGCCUCCACAGGCCCAGGAGCCAUCACCAAUGCUGCUGUAGGGGACCUGGGCUCACUCCCCUGCCAGUCCCUCUGUAGACAGCUACUGGGACACUCAUUUGUAGUAUAUGGCUUGCCAGAGAGUCCAGGCACAUUCCAGAAGAAAUUGGCCAAUUUAAGCUACAAAUGAAAAGACAAAUGAGAUGGAAAUUGCACAGAACAAGCCUGCUUCUCAUCAGGAGGUAUCAGUCCUGACAUGCUGAGCUGUGCAACCUAUUUAGGCCUCUCCCUGCCACUCAUGUCAGAAGGGCUUUCCCGAGGCUGGGAAACUCCACCUCCUUCGCACGCACAGCCAGGCAGAGGAGCAGCCCCAGAGGCUCUAAGAUGAAGUGAGAGAGACAGUGUGUAAGGCGGAGGAGAAGGGCAAGUUGGAGGACACAAGGCAGGUGCCUCAGAAGCAAGGCAACACAGAAAGGGGAUUUGUCAUUCCAAAAAGGAAAAAAAUAUUUUGGACCUCUGCUAUUUACUAGCAGAUGACAGGGCUAGUAUAUUACACAACACAUAAAAUCAUUCACUGGACAUAGCACAUCCCAGUCAAAAAUUUCCUCGUCAACAUGGAUAUCCCCUACCAAAUUUUGGUCUCUCUUUUUUUUUUUUGAGACGGAGUUUCGCUCUUAUCACCCAGGCUAUAGUGCAAUGGUGCCAUCUUACCUCACUGCAACCUCCACCUCCUAGGUUCAAGCAAUUGUCCUGCCUCAGCCUCGCGAGUGGCUGGAAUUAUAGGCAUGUGCCACCAUGCCCAAUUUUGUAUAUUUAUUAUUUAUGUAUUUAUUUUUUUAGGUGGGGGACAGAGUCCUGCGCUCUUGUCACCCAGGCCAGAGUGCAGUGGCAAGAUCUCCGCUCACCUAAGCCUUCGCCUCUCAGGUACAAGCAAUUCUCCUGCCUCAGCCUCCUGAGUAGCUGGGAUUACAGGCACGUGCCACCAUACCUGGCUAAUUUUUUGUAUUUUUAGUAGGCAUGUUGGUCAGGCUGGUCUCAAACUCCCGACCUCAGUUAAUCCUCCUGCCUCAGCCUCCCAAAGCACAUGAACCGCCACACCUGGCCAAAUUUUGGUCUCUUAAUCUACCAAAUUUUUUACUGGGAUGUGCCAUGUCCAGUGAAUGAUUUUAUGUGCCAUGUAAUGUACCAGCAGCCCUGUCAUCUGCUAGUAAAUAGAAGAGGUCCAAAAACCUCCAAGAAAUCAUCAUCCUGCUCUGUGUUUGGGGCCCAUUCUAGGUGUUCAGCCUGUGAAGAUGAACAAGAUCUGCCCUUAAGGAACUCCCAGCCUGGAGGAGGAAAAGAAAGUGAGAUGAUGGGCAUGAUGACAGACAAGGCAAGGAGAGAUGGAGGCACAUCUACAAACAGGAGGAGGGGCAGCUGGGAGGAGAAGCAAGGGUGUACGAGAGACCUGGAGAGGAGCAGGAGCCCUGUGAGCAAGCCAAGGGUACGGGGCUCUGCCUGCCUGUCACCCCUUAUACCAGGGAGAAACAGCCUUGACGGUCCUCUGGAAAGAGACAGCUCACAGAUGCCUUUACAGGCAUCAACUCACUGGUUCUUGGUGAAGUGUCAAGGAGUAGGACUGGCAGGGAGUGAGUUCACCAAUCCAGUGAAUGGGGCAAACCAAUAAACAAAAUAUUUGGAUGGCGGCUUAUUCUCUAUUAUGUAACGAGGGGUCAGUGACCCAGGAGUUCUUAGUCCCUGGGUCUCUGUCUCAUCUACUAUUUUUUGUUGAGUUUAGUGAGUUGCAAAGAGUCCAGGAAUGCAAAUUUGUUUUCAUUUGGAUCCAAGCUAAAUACAGUUUUAGUAAUAAUAAUAGCAAAUACUUAUAAGGCACUUACUAUGAGCCAGGCUGUUCUAAACACUUCACACAUACUUAACUCAUUUGCAUAGUAAAUACGCUGGGGAAAAAAAUCCUACCAUGCAUUUCAAAGCCAAACACAAGUCACUUUUGAACUAUCCAUUACACACACACACACACACACACACACCCCACACACACACACCCCAACCAAAAGUGGAUCACGAACUGUUGACCACCUUAACCCUCUCUCUCUUAGGUGGCCAUAAGGCAGAUGUCUUGGGAGGCUGGGUUCCGAAAGCCAUUCCAGGAGCCCUUGAAUGAUUACAGAUUUCAGUGGGCUACACAGGCUUACCCUCUCCUUCCUCCUUCUCUUAGCUGGGGCACUUCAGGCCAGGCUCCAUGCAGGAUGCUCAGGCUGGACGGAGACCCUGGAGAUUGUCAUUAGGGUAGGUGUGGCUCUCUCUCCAGGGACUGCUCCCUGUCCAUUAUCAGAGCCAGAAUGCACGUGCAUUGCACCAUUGUGGAUGUUGCUAAGCCUAAUUGCUACCAGGGGACUAGUUUCCAUAGUGACCGAGGUAUAGUAGGCCCUUGACAUUCUCAAGGGAUACAUCAUAGCCCUUCAUGAAUCCAUGGAUUAGAGACUACCACAUAAUUUCCUCCAUAAAACGAAGUAAAGUAUGACUGAGAACUAUAAUGAGGAUGGCUAUUGAGGGCAAAGUCACUCAACGCUCAGCUUGCCAGGAGGUUUCCCUGCUUGGUCUCACAGCACUGGCAAGUCAGCAUACAUACUAUUUCAUGUCAGACUGAGGUUGGUCAUAAUGGCAAAAUCCACCUUAUGAUAAAAGAGAAUGCUAGUGACUGCCACUUUUGAAUGACAAUAGCAAGGAGGGACUUCUGGUUAAACAUGAUGGACUAACAUCUGUGGUGCUCUGUGGCACCUCCCCAACCCACACUAAGAGUAAAGGAGUAAAAAAGAUGCAGGCCCGCAGGGGCAGGGGAGAAGAGAUCAAAGGGAAUAAGCAAUGUCAGUACAAUUUUGGAACUUGAGAAGGUAACUGACCUGGCUUGACAGAGAAAGAAAAACGUAGAGACUCCCAGAGAGGGGAGUCAAAGAGAAAUGGGCAGAUUCCUGCUAUAGAACCAGAGAGAGGUGGAGAAAUGGUUGUCAUCUGAAGACAGGACAUGGAGUAGGGCCAGACACAGAAGACUGAUACCUCAGAUCUCUUCCUCACCCCAUUUCACCCCGUGACUGUCCCUGCUUUACCCUAGAGCAUCCUGAAGAAAACUUCGCUUUCCAAAGAGACUGAACCCAACAAGUGCUGACUUGGGGACAUGGGUACAACUAUGGAUAGAGAUGAGGCAGUAUGUGGGAAAAAUGAGCAUUUGCUCAAAGUUUCCAAGCCAAAUGGGGAGGCCUUUUGCUCAUUUCCUCCAGAUGGCUCUAAAAAUACUGAUAGUUGGCCAGGCGCAGUGGCUCACGUCUGUAAUCCCAGCACUUUGGGAGGCCAAGACGGGUGGAUCACGAGGUCAAGAGAUCGAGACCAUCUUGGCCAACAUAGUAAAACCCCAUCUCUACUAAAAUAUUUUUAAAAAAUUAGCUGGGCGUGGUGGCAUCUGUCUGCAAUCCCAGCUACUCAGGAGGCUGAGGCAGGAGAAUUGCCUGAACCCGGGAGGCGGAGGUUGCAGUGAGCCAAGAUCACGCCACUGUACUCCAGCCUGGUGCCUGGCGACAGAGAGAGACUCUGUCUCAAAAAAAACAAAAAUACUGGUAGUUGGACAAAUGAUGACAUUUGGGAGACUCUUUCCCUCUCAGUUAAGCCCUGCCCAUUCCAAUCAGCUUUAAAUGCCUCAUCUGUAAAUGUGAACCAUUGGCCAGGCACAGUGGCUCACACCUGUAAUCCCAACACUUCAGGAGGCUGAGGCAGGCAGAUCACUUAAGAUCAGGAAUUUGAGAUCAGCUUGGCCAAUAUGGUGAAACCCCGUGUCCACUAAAAAUAUAAAAAUUAGAUAAGUGUGGUGGCCCAUGCCUGUAAUCCCAGCCACUCAGGAGAGUGAGGCAGGAAAAUUGCUUGAACCCGGGAGGUGGAGGUUGCAGUGAGCCAAGAUCACACCACUGCACUCCAGCCUGAGUGACAGAGUGAGACUCAGUCUCAAAAAAAAAAAAAAGAACCAUUGGCUAAGGCUUACUAGAAUUUUAAGGGAGGUGUGUCUAGUAUUUUUAAAAGCAAAGACUUAAAGAAAGGAAAUACUAUGCAGGAAGCAAAAGAAGAAAUAAAUACCACCAUCACCACCGCAAUCGACAUCCUCAGAGAGCUGAGAGAGGACACACCCACAAAACAAGACCACAUGGCCUUAUUAAAAAUUGAGAUGUAAUUCACAUACCAUAAAAUUCACCAUUUGAAAGUGUACAAUUUGGUGGUUUUUAAAAUAUUCACGAGGUUUUACAUCCAUUGCCUUUAUCUAAUUCUAAAACAUUCUCAUUAUGGACCCCAAAAACCCCAUACUCGUCAGCAGCCAUUCCUCAUUCUCCCCUUCCCCCAGACUCUGGCAAUCACUAGUCUCUAUAGAUUUGCUUAUUCUGGAUGUGUCAUAUAAAUGGAAUCAUACAAUUCAUCGCCUUUGUGUCUGGCAUCUUCCACUUAGCAUAUUUUCAACGUUCGUCUAGGUUGUAGCAUGUGUCAUUGCUUUGUUCCUUUUUGUAGCUGAAUAUCAUUGCAUUUGUAUGGAUAGACUAUAUAUAUAUAUAUAUAUAUUUUUUUUUUUUUUUGAGAUGGAGUCUCGCUGUGUUGCUGUACUUGUUGAAGUACUAUGUCUUUCUCUAAUCACUGCAACCUCUGCCUCCCGAGUUCAAGCAAUUCUUCUGCCUCAGCCUCCUGAGUAGCUGGGAUUACAGGCCUGCAUCACCAUGCCUGGCUAAUUUUUAUAUUUUUGGUAGAGACAGAGUUUCUCCAUGUUGGCCAUGGUCUCAAACUCCUGACCUUAGAUGAUGCACCCGCCUCAGCCUCCCAAAGUGCUGGGAUUACAGAUGUGAGGCACCAAGCCCAGCAGAUAUACCAUUUUUUUAAAAUUCAUCUAUCAGUUGAUAGGCAUUUGGGUGAUUUUUAUUUUUUAAGGAAGGUGCAGAGAACAAGCUCUUGGAAAUUUAAAAUACAUUGUUUCCGUCAAUAAAGAUGAUUACUUUCCAGGUGGUUAGGGUCCGUUAGGUACCUAGCACAAUUAAUGCAAAAGAGACCCUCACAAAGACACAACAUUUCAGAACGUCAGGUAUGAAGUGAAGAUUCCGCAAGCCAGGAAGAAAAAACAGGCUUUAGGAUAGCAGCAAACUUCUCAACAGCAGCCCUGGAAGCAAAUAGGUCAUGUAACGGUGUCUUCCAACACGUGUGGGAAUGUUGUUUACAAUCUGAAAUUAUAUUUUCAGUCAAACUGUCAGGCAUGGCGGCCCCAUAAAGACAUGGAAACAUUUGCAAAAAUGUUCAUGCGAAAAUUUUCAAACACGCAGAUUUUUAAGAAACUUACCUCUUUUUCAAAAGCAUCUCAAAAAAAGAUGUACUCUACCAAAACAAGGUGGAAAACAAGAAAGAUGACAUGAACCCCAGGGGAGCCAGAUUGUAAGAGUAUUUACUAUGAUAAGAAGAAGCCUGAACAGAUACGCAUCAAAACGUUAACACUGGUUAGCACUGUUAGAAGAGGGAAUUGUUUAAAUUUUCUCCAUAUUUUUCUAUAUCUUCUCAUUUUUCAAUAAGAACGUCAUACUGUACCUACCAAUUACUAUAUAUUUGUCACACAUGGAUGCAGAGAGUAGGGGCAGAAGACAGAGAAAGAAUAGAGGGAAGGAAAGACAUUGAGCUGUGACGGCCACUGUGCUGCUCUGAACACCAUUAUCCUGCUUUUCGGCAGUCCUCGGGGCUAGUCAUAUUUGUGCCUGUCUGCCCUGCUAGGUACAGAGCUUCCUCUGGACAGAGGCUGGAUCUUGUUUAUCCUGUAUCUAUUCCCAGUCCCUGGCAGAGAAAAUGCAUGGAAGAGGUGCUUGAAUGGAUCUACAGAGAGGAAGAGAACAGAAGGAGGAGAAAAAAAAAAAGGAAAAAACCUCACCUGGCUGGGCAUGGUGGCUAAUGCCUAUAAUCCUAGCACUUUGGGAGACCAAGGAUGGCAGAUCACUUAAGCCCAGGAGUUCUAGAUUUUCGAGAUCAGCCUGGGAAAUAAGUAAGACCCCUUCUUUAAGAAACAAAAACAUCUUUUAAAAAAUUAGCUGGGCUGAUGUCACAUGCCUGUUAGUCCCAGCUACUCGGGAGGCUGAGGUGGGAGGAUCACUUGAGCCUGGGAGAUGGGGGCUGCAGUGGCCCCAGAUCUCGCCACUGUACUCCAGCCUGGGUGACAGAGCAAGAUCCUGUCUCGAGUAAACAAAAACAAAAGGCCACCAAAUGUAGAGUAUAAGCUGGGUGAGACCUGAAGUAGGGAUGCCAUAAAGGUUUUAGCAUCACUAGCUGGGUGCUCAGUUCCACUGUCAGAGAACUUGCCUCAGCUGGGUCCAGCCACCUGUGUCCCAUUCUCACCUGGCUGCAGCUUCAGCCAAGGCCUGGGGGAGCUGGGAAUGUCCACAGGGAUUAGAGAAUGGAGAAUGUCUUUUGAACACAUUAAACUUUCAGAAUAAGACACUCAGACCACAGCACCCAGCUACCGGUAGCCCUGGAGCUCUUGUAAACCUCCUGGGGCCCACUUGAAAGGAACACUUGGGGUUAACGGCAGGAGUGUCGUGCUGGUGUGAGGAGGGAAGCCCUGAUUUGUAGUGUUUGCCAAUUUUCAUAGUUUUCAGUAUUUCCAUCAUAGCCAAUUUCAACCUACUAAGUAGUGUUACUGAGGUUGGAGCUGGGAAGAGGGGAGCCCGGUCAGCUCUCAUGGACUGGUGCAUGCUGGUUCCAGCACGCACUGGUUAAUGGCAAUGAUGGAUGUGACUACUAAGUGCCACUUCUGCAUGAGCACAAAGUCGGAAGACUUGAAUGGUUGGAUGGAAUCAAAGAGCUUCUGGCCCAGGGAAGGAUGCAAGUAGCCACAUGUGCUAUUAGUACCGCCAGGGAGAGUUUGGCGGAGAGUUUUUGGUUGGGGGAUGCGAAAAUAAUGAAGACAGCUGGAUGGGACCUGCUAUACAAAGAAUGAACUUUGUACAACUUCCUUCUCAACUAAGGAAGCAGGCUUUCAUUCUAAUUGUUCUGAUUUGCAGAUGAAAAACUAAGGCCUAACAAGCUAAUAGUCACACAGCUAAUAAAUAGGCUGCAACUGGGACAAACCCAAGCCUUCCAAUUUUUCAUUUAGAUUAAACUUGUCUACAGUAUUCAGACCCAUAAAUCUUAAGUGAACAGCUUGAACAUUCCCGUACCCAGAAGGCUCCUCUUACCCCUUCUCGGGCAAUUGGGCCUUCGAAUUCUCAAUCCAGUCCUGCAUACACCAGCCCUUAGUGACUGGGUUGGCAGUAUAUCAUGUGCUUGUAAGUAUGGCGUCAAGGACAGUGUUUCUCAGUGGUUAAGCACACAGACUUUGGGGCCUGACUGCCGAGAUUCAAAUCUGAGCUUCAGCUGUGUGACCCUGGGCAGAUUACUUAAUCUCUAGACCUUUUUUUUUGGCGGGGGGGGGGGGGUGUCAGGGUCUCGCACUGUCACCAAUGAGGGAGUGCAAUGGCACAGUUAUGGCUCACUGAAGCCUUGAACUCCUAGACUGAAGCAGUCCUUCCACCUCAGCCUCCUGAGUAGCUGAGACUACAGGUGCAUGCCACCAUGCCCAACUAGUUUUUCUUUCCUUUUUCUUUUUUUUCUGAGAUGGGGUCUCACUCUGUUGCCCAUGCUGGAGUACAGUGGUACUACCCUGUGUCACCGUAGCCUUGACCUCCAGGGCUCAAGUGAUCCUCCUGCCUCAGCCUCCCAAGUAGCUUGGACUACAGGCGCACACCACAUCGGGCUAAUUUUAAGAAUCUUUUGUAGAGAUAAGCUCCCACUAUGUUGCCCAGGUUGGUCUUGAACUCCUGGCCUCAAGUGAUCCUCCUGCUUCUGCCUCCCAGAGCACUGGGAUUACAGGCAUGAGCCACCACACCUAGGCCAAUCUCUGUAUUUUAGAUUUCUGUUUAUAAAUGAGGAUAAAGGCAUCACAGGGUUGUUGUAGGUUUACAUGGGUUAAUACAAAUAAAGUGCUUAGAACAGUUCCUAGUUCAUACCAAGUGUUCAGUAAGGGUCAGCCUGUCGUUAAUUGGCAAGGGAAGAGCAGCUGUCCUGGCCCAGAAAUCAGAGAGGUGUGAAGAAAAAGUUAAUUAGCCAUCAAGAAGGCAAUCAGCCUCAGCUUCCCUCACAGUUUCCCAACCUGGGGCCAGUGGAGCCAACUCCUAGAGGAACUUAGAACUUCGGAGUUGAGAGAGACUAGCCAUCCUGUAGCCAUGAACUUGUAUCUUGCAGAUGAGAAUCAGAAGCCCAGAGUUCAGUGUGUGCCCUUAUAUUAAUAUUAGGCUGGUGCAAAAGUAAUUGUGGUUUUUGCUGUUUGUUUCUUUUCUUUUUUUUUUUUUUUGCUGUUACUUUCGAUGGCAAAAACUGCAAUUACUUUUCCACCAUUUAAUACUGGUCACUUCCCUGCUCUGGGACUCCAUUUCUUCCACUGAAAAACAAGGAAGCAAAAUGAGGUGGAUGCCGAAGUCCCUUCUGCAGAAGCUCUGACCAGAGGACCAACUCACUUUGCUUAGAUGUGGAAGCUGCCCCCGGCACAGACCCCCACGUGAGGUAGUAGGUUGGUGGAAGAGGGGAGACCUCUCCUCCCUGCCAGCUCCCUCCAUCUGUAGGGGAAUGGCUUCUGGAAGACCCAGGUGCAGGACUGCCAUGGACCAGCUCUUUUCCCGGGAGGCAGACCCAGCUGCCUGCAUUGAAAUCACCUGCUUGGAAGGUGUUCCAUCUACAGGUGCCUGGGCUCCACCCUGAGGAGUGGGAUGGGCAUGUUAACAAGCUCUCUGGGUGAUUCUUGGGCAGUCUGUGAGUUUGAGAAAUAUUGGUUUAGAGGGCUAGGACCCAGGAUGGGAGGUGCAAGCUCUCGUAGUAGAAAUAGCUGUGGGGCACCUUCUGACAUCUCUAAUCCUUACUACCACCACCCUGCAAAGUCGGCAUUAUUGCUCUGAUUGUAUGGAAGAGAAAACUGAGAACCAGCACAAUUAAUCUGCCAGGCAUCACCCAGAUAAUGAGACAAGGAGCCAAAACUUCAACUCAGGUCCUUAUUUGCUCUUCUGCCUCCUUGCUGAGCUUCUAAACAGCGCUGGGAGGUGACCAGCUGAACUGGGAGGCAGGUGGGUUAAUGUAAAGGUGGCUGCAGCCGGGGUUCAGAGGCAAG